AAGAGACAAGUCGGAUUUGCCCUUGCCCAUCUUGUCCUAUAAAUAGUUCCUUCUUGGGUACUCCUUCCCCACCACACCAUUCUACUACCCAACUUUACUUUUCCAGCGGCGGCGCCAUUUACAACCUUCAAGACCUCCGACAAGCACUUCUCUUCAUCAACUCCGGUGCCCUCCAACGUUCUCUUCACGACAAGAUGGCCAUCGGCUUCGUCGUCCCUGAGGUCAGAUCUCCAUCUCAUCUUCUGUAUUUUUUAUUCCUGUUCAUCCGCGAUUCAUCUUACUGAAUAUUCUCCUUUUCCUUUUUCUUUGUAUUUUUAUUCCCCCAAAAUCACUAGGAGUUGUCCAAUAAAAUUGUCAUCCCCACCGAUCAACCACACCUCC
rnacentral:lncRNA from 1 species